UACGGGGGGUGCGAGCGUUAAUCGGACUUACUGGGCGUAAAGCGCACGUAGGUGGAUCAUUAAGUUAGAUGUGAAAUACCUGGGCUCAACCUGGGAAUUGCAUUUAAUACUGGUGAACUAGAGUAUGGCAGAGGGAAGUGGAAUUUCCGGUGUAGCGGUGAAAUGCGUAGAUAUCGGAAGGAACAUCAGUGGCGAAGGCGACUUCCUGGGCUAAUACUGACACUGAGGAGCGAAAGCGUGGGUAUCGAACAGG
rnacentral:rRNA from 1 species